rnacentral:rRNA from 1 species
CACGGGGGGAGCAAGCGUUGUUCGGAAUCACUGGGCGUAAAGGGCGUGUAGGCGGUCAAGUAAGUGGAAUGUGAAAGCCCCCGGCUUACCCGGGGAUCUGCAUCCCAAACUGCUUGGCUUGAGUACGGGAGAGGAUAGGGGAAUUCCUGGUGUAGCGGUGAAAUGCGCAGAUAUCAGGAGGAACACCGGUGGCGAAGGCGGAUCUCUGGGCCUUACCUGACGCUCAGGCGCGAAAGCUAGGGGAGCGAACAGG